AGUGAACGCUGGCGGUAGGCCUAACACAUGCAAGUCGAACGGCAGCACAGUAAGAGCUUGCUCUUACGGGUGGCGAGUGGCGGACGGGUGAGGAAUACAUCGGAAUCUACUUUUUCGUGGGGGAUGACGUAGGGAAACUUACGCUAAUACCGCAUACGACCUACGGGUGAAAGCAGGGGAUCUUCGGACCUUGCGCGAUUGAAUGAGCCGAUGUCGGAUUAGCUAGUUGGCGGGGUAAAGGCCCACCAAGGCGACGAUCCGUAGCUGGUCUGAGAGGAUGAUCAGCCACACUGGAACUGAGACACGGUCCGGACUCCUACGGGGGGCAGCAGUGGGGAAUAUUGGACAAUGGGCGCAAGCCUGAUCCAGCCAUACCGCGUGGGUGAAGAAGGCCUUCGGGUUGUAAAGCCCUUUUGUUGGGAAAGAAAAGCAGCAGGUUAAUACCCCGCUGUUCUGACGGUACCCAAAGAAUAAGCACCGGCUAACUUCGCG
rnacentral:rRNA from 1 species